CAGUAACUCCAGACAGACUCCAGAUGAUAGGAGGUUUGAUGCAGCAAGGAGCUACAACAAGACCUUGGCUUGGAAUACACGAGCAACUCCAUGGCUAAUGUUCAGCACUUUAGUCUGAUACCAGAACUGAGCAAGUCUUGAGGACUGCCUUGAAUCAGGAUGACUGAAGAACAAGACUUAGGCUAAAUUGUACCAGAGGUAGAACUCUCAGAGGAUCAGUGAGCUAGAGGAAAUUUUGUCUUCUCCUUCAAGCCCAUCAGUCUGGGUCGUGUAGAGGGGGAAUUGAAACCUCAUUUUGGAGCAAAGGAAUCUUGUCAUUUACAAUACCUUUUACCCAGAGCCAAUAUGAAAGCCUGCGGGAUCCAGUCCUGGAGAGCUCCAUACGAUGAAAGGCAGGAACUGACUUCAAGAGGCACAAGAAACUGACUUAUUUAUUUGCAUGAUUUCUUAUUCAUUCUCCUGUUAAAUGGAAGAUGUUGGUUUGAACUGUGCCAGAAGAAAGGGGAAAUCCACACCCUCCUGUUCCAGGCAGUGCCCAAGGCAGAGAGUCUUAGCUAAGGAGCUGCCAAACCCAUGAGAAUUCAUUAGGCUCACUCUGCUGAUGAAGACAGGGCCCAACAAAGUGUCUGAAGAUGCUGCUGUGGGAAGGAAACUCAGUUUCUCCUGGCCAGAGCAGAGCCAAGAACCAAAAACGCUGCUGUCUGCCACCUACUGCAGUCUGGUACAGACAAACCUGCCUGUUCCCACUGCAUGUUCAGGAGGAUCCAGCAGAAAGCAGGUAGCUCAGGGUGUGAGCCAGGAGGCUUUUGUUCUCAGGGCCAGCUUGGCUGUGGGAUGUGAGAGGCUGGCUGGAGUGUUCAGGAUCUGGGUUUGCUUAGUUGUGUAAGAUGGUGAUGUGCUCUUUCCUCACUGCAUGCAAUAGCAUGGAGCCUGUUCCCACUUUCUCACCUUGGCUGCUGUGGGGGACCAUGUGUGGAGUGCCUGGUCCUGUUCCUUUAAUUGCAUAAUUAAAGUUAAGGGAAAGGAAUAAAGGAAAAUACUCUCACAAUCCCUCUCCUAACACACAUAUGGAUUGCCAGAGCAGCCUUUCUUUAGCUUAGUUUCCAGUACCUGCUCCAGUUAGUUCAGAUUCUUGUGGUUCAAUUUCUUUUUUUCCCUGCUGAGAGCUUAAACCACUGUACCAGGGAGAGAUGUGUGCUCUCAUUUGUGCAAUACCCUGCUAACCCAUGUGCAUCUACUCUGGAAAGCCCUGAUUGCGACUUAUGCCCCAUUUUUGGUGAAAGCAAAUAAAGUUUAGAGUUAAAUAUUUCAAGAACUGUUUCAGUGAUCUGGAUCCUGUUUUCCAGGUGAGGGUCUAAUUCCUCUUGCAUUUAAUCCACCAGAAGAAGCACAGGUGAUGCUGGAAACAAACCUUGUCCUGUGCAGGCUGGAAAGCCUAGAAAUGCUACAGAUGCCCUUUCUGCAAAUAAAUCUUUGUAUGGUGCUGCUGAAGAUUCAAGGUCUUAAAAGAGAGGAGGAUCCUGUCUUCAGUGCUCUGAAGGUGCAUCUAGAGCAGGACUGACUGUUGUGAACCCCAGUCUCACACUCAUGCUUAAACUAUUCACAACAGCAUGUUGACAGAGACAGCACAGUUGUUUUACAAUUCAUGUUGAAAGAAAAUUAAGGACUAAACACAACAGCAGAGGGUUUUGC